rnacentral:rRNA from 1 species
GAUUAGUGGCGAACGGGUGAGUAACACGUGAGUAACCUGCCCUUAACUCUGGGAUAAGCCUGGGAAACUGGGUCUAAUACCGGAUAUGACUCCUCAUCGCAUGGUGGGGGGUGGAAAGCUUUAUUGUGGUUUUGGAUGGACUCCCGGCCUAUCACCUUGUUGGUGAGGUAAUGGCUCACCAAGGCGACAACGGGUAGCCGGCCUGAAAGGGUGACCGGCCACACUGGGACUGAGACACGGCCCAAACUCCUACGGGAGGCAGCAGUGGGGAAUAUUGCACAAUGGGCGCAAGCCUGAUGCAGCGACCCCCCGUGAGGGAUGACGGCCUUCGGGUUGUAAACCUCUUUCAGUAGGGAAAAAGCGAAAUUGACGGUACCUGCAAAAAAAGCGCCGGCUAACUACGUGCCAGCAGCCGCGGUAAUACGUAGGGCGCAAGCGUUAUCCGGAAUUAUUGGGCGUAAAAAGCUCGUAGGCGGUUUGUCCCGUCUGCCCUGAAAGUCCGGGGCUCAACUCCGGAUCUGCGGUGGGUACGGGCARACUARAGUGAUGUAGGGGAGACUGGAAUUCCUGGUGUAKCGGUGAAAUGCGCARAUAUCAGGAGGAACACCGAUGGCGAAGGCAGGUCUCUGGGCAUUAACUGACGCUGAGGAGCGAAAGCAUGGGGAGCGAACAGGAUWMGAUACCCUGGUAGUCCWUGCCGUAAACGUUGGGCACUAGGUGUGGGGGAYAUUCCACGUUUUCCGCGCCGUAGCUAACGCAUUAAGUGCCCCGCCUGGGGGAGUACGGSCGCAAGGYUAAAACUCAAAGGAAUUGACGGGGGCCCGCACAAGCGGCGGAGCAUGCGGAUUAAUUCGAUGCAACGCGAAGAACCUUACCAAGGCUUGACAUGGACCGGAUCGCUGCAGAAAUGUGGUUUCCCCUUUGGGGCCGGUUCACAGGUGGUGCAUGGUUGUCGUCAGCUCGUGUCGUGAGAUGUUGGGUUAAGUCCCGCAACGAGCGCAACCCUCGUUCCAUGUUGCCAGCGCGUAAUGGCGGGGACUCAUGGGAGACUGCCGGGGUCAACUCGGAGGAAGGUGGGGACGACGUCAAAUCAUCAUGCCCCUUAUGUCUUGGGCUUCACGCAUGCUACAAUGGCCGGUACAAAGGGUUGCGAUACUGUGAGGUGGAGCUAAUCCCAAAAAGCCGGUCUCAGUUCGGAUUGGGGUCUGCAACUCGACCCCAUGAAGUCGGAGUCGCUAGUAAUCGCAGAUCAGCAACGCUGCGGUGAAUACGUUCCCGGGCCUUGUACACACCGCCCGUCAAGUCACGAAAGUUGGUAACACCCGAAGCCGGUGGCCUA